rnacentral:rRNA from 1 species
AGCUUGCUCAGAUAUGACGAUGGACAUUGCAAAGAGUGGCGAACGGGUGAGUAACACGUGGGAAACCUACCUCUUAGCAGGGGAUAACAUUUGGAAACAGAUGCUAAUACCGUAUAACAAUGACAACCGCAUGGUUGUUAUUUAAAAGAUGGUUCUGCUAUCACUAAGAGAUGGUCCCGCGGUGCAUUAGCUAGUUGGUAAGGUAAUGGCUUACCAAGGCGAUGAUGCAUAGCCGAGUUGAGAGACUGAUCGGCCACAAUGGGACUGAGACACGGCCCAUACUCCUACGGGAGGCAGCAGUAGGGAAUCUUCCACAAUGGGCGAAAGCCUGAUGGAGCAACGCCGCGUGUGUGAUGAAGGGUUUCGGCUCGUAAAACACUGUUGUAAGAGAAGAAUGACAUUGAGAGUAACUAUUCAAUGUGUGACGGUAUCUUACCAGAAAGGAACGGCUAAAUACGUGCCAGCAGCCGCGGUAAUACGUAUGUUCCAAGCGUUAUCCGGAUUUAUUGGGCGUAAAGCGAGCGCAGACGGUUAUUUAAGUCUGAAGUGAAAGCCCUCAGCUCAACUGAGGAAUUGCUUUGGAAACUGGAUGACUUGAGUGCAGUAGAGGAAAGUGGAACUCCAUGUGUAGCGGUGAAAUGCGUAGAUAUAUGGAAGAACACCAGUGGCGAAGGCGGCUUUCUGGACUGUAACUGACGUUGAGGCUCGAAAGUGUGGGUAGCAAACAGGAUUAGAUACCCUGGUAGUCCACACCGUAAACGAUGAGUGCUAGGUGUUUGAGGGUUUCCGCCCUUAAGUGCCGCAGCUAACGCAUUAAGC